GUGGAACGCACAGGGCGGAAGUCGGGUGUGUAGCGCUCCGGGCGGAGAACUGGCGGAACCUACACACCCCUUUAAAGUCAGAGACAGAGUCGUGGUGAAGGUGCUCCCCAGGAACAAGAGCCCAGGAGACUUCACCUAUGGUCCAGAGACAGAGGUCGUAGCAGUUACCCGAACAGCAGUCCUGACAGAGGAAAAUCCUGCCUGGAUCCAUGCAUCCCGAGUAAAAAAGGUUCCUAGACCAGACCUAGAGAGGGAAGCAAGUGAUUCCAGUGAGGUACGAACCGGGGCAGACAGCCCUGACCUCCCACCUAGCGAAGAAAGAAGAACAGAAGAAGAUGAGGAACCUGUCCCCUAUCUCUAUCCUGGGGACUAUCUCGAUAGCCCUACUGGCCCUCAUUCACCUCACAAUAUGUGAAGUCGACAUCACACAAACAGAUGGGGUCCCCACCUUGUGGUACAAUUCCUCCAAUACACACGUAGCCACAUACAUCCUUGAUUAUUUCAUGUUCCCUAAACUUGCUGACAACAAACAUUUCAUACAGCAGAAAAGGAAAUCAGGAAUGUCUGAGACAGUAUAUAUUUGUGUUACUGACGAAUGGUACUAUGACAUUAGAUAUUAUGGAUCUAAUUGUAAUUCCUGGGAAGCUGUGGGGUGGAAUACAGGAGCAGAUUGGAAAUAUGGCCCAUCAUUUGCAAAAAAUAGAUAUAGCAAAUAUCCCCAAAACAAACCUUUAAAGCCCCAUAUUGCCACUUCUAAAGAUAUGGUGGCUAUUACUAACCCUACCUUUGAAGACACCCUAGCUAUUGAAACUGGUUUCUCUGACAUUAAUUUUGGUUGGAAUGGAUGAAGUAUAGUGCUAACAAACACAAUAAAAGCAACUGUUAUGUCUGUGGCAAAUCUAGGCCCCACCUAGGUACAGUGCCCCUUAAUAUACCCCUAGAACAGGAAAAUUGUUUUUUCAGCCUUUUUAAUGACACCAAAACAAAUGACAGUCAGUGCGAAAUGUGGAAAAGGGAAUAUCCCAUAUUGUCAAAAAAUCCCAACCCAGGAAGCACCAUAACCAUAUAUCCUGGAAACUAUACCUGUUAUACAUCUAACACCACCACAGGGAGAAAUUUAAAAGGAGCCUCACUCAAGAAUCAUGUCAUAUAAUAAUCAUGAUUCUAAGAGGGGAUUGAAGGGUUAACUCUUCUGUGCUUUGUAAAUAUUACUUUUUAUAUGAUCAAUUUCCUUAUAAUAGUUACAGUGUAAAAGUGAAUAUUUCUAUUUCCCUAGUGAAGGGUUAAAACAUGCUUUAUGAACUCUUAUGUGUUUGCAAUGGAUGCGUGCUGCCCUGUGUUAGAUGCCUUUGUCUCUCAUACAGAUACCAGGCUUGUGUGGGUCUGGCAUCCAAGGUCAGCUCUAUACUAGAUGAAACCUGCUUUUUCUACUUCUGUGUGUUACUAAAAGAUCUUGUGUUAAGUUCCAUCUGAUGCAACGUAUAUAACAUCUGCCUAGCAACUGCUAUAUCCAAUUAUGUUAUGUCAAGUAUUAACCACCCCUACGUACCCCACUAGGGCACCACCCCUAAGCCAAUGAGCCCUGUUACACUUAUCAGUUACACCCUUAUGUGUUCUCUUUUUAUACCAAUGUUAAACAUUCAAUAAAACAGUGUGAAUUUUUA